UUUUUUGUGUUAAAAAACAUCUACGUUACAUGAAGAGAGAGAAAAGAAAUAAACACAUAUUCUCAUUUAUUUUGCAUACCACCUUCAAAAUAAAUAUUAAAUCAUUGAUACAAAGGAAAGGAAACAAAUAGAAAAGAAAAGAGGGAACAAAAAGAGAUAAGGAGGAUGACAGGAGAAAGAUGAACAUCGCAGUUGGGCGACGGUUACGUCGUCGUGAAGGGUUUAUGGAUGUGGACAAUGUGAGCUUGAAGUGCGUGGUGGUCGAGUGGCUUUUUUCUUGUGGAAUGAUUUUUU
rnacentral:lncRNA from 1 species